CACUGCCCCAAAAUUUGCAGCAGUUGUCACCUCCCCCUGCCCCGUCAAGUGUGUCGGUCCAUCAGAGGUCAAGCAGGAAAUAGAUAUAAUCAGGACAGAGGGAGUGAAGUUAGUGGAACAUGAGUACAAACUAGCUGGAUGAAGGAGCUAAAGAAUAAAAAGGUGGAGCAGGAAAGGUCAGAGACAAAAGAAAAUCGUACUCGAGGCUGAAGCUGCAAAGUGUUUCUAACGUUAGCAGCAGUGACAAAAUGACAACAGCCUGUCGACGGCACCAAAUGAAGAGGAGGAAACAGUGACGUGGACUGAUCGCAGAAGCAGGCUGAUACCAGGGGAGUGACGUUACAGCCUGAGGCAAGAAGUGGAGGACGCCACCCGACAACUUCUCAACAGCCUGCCGUGCACUGGCACUGACCGCUGAUGUGGUCACACAGGCCCUCGUUACGACACGUGCACUCCUGAGAGCAAUUAAUGCCGAAUGAUCCGAACGGACACGGCUGGGCGCAGACCGGACCCUGAGGAAGAGGAAGAGGAAGACAUGACCAUCAGUUUGUUGACAAACAUUCAUUCAUCUUCUGAAACGACUUAUCCUGUUAGGGGUCGUUUGGGGGUGGAGCCUCUCCCAGCUGACAUUGGGUGAGAGGCAGGCAAUUAACCUGCAUGUCUUUGGACUGUGGGAGGAAGCUGGAGCACCCGGAGGAAACCCACGCUGACACGGGGACAACAAAAUAUAAAUGAAAACAUGUCUCUUCAGGAGC